CCUACGGGGCGCACCAGUGGGGAAUAUUGCACAAUGGGCGCAAGCCUGAUGCAGCCAUGCCGCGUGUAUGAAGAAGGCCUUCGGGUUGUAAAGUACUUUCAGCGGGGAGGAAGGUGUUGAGGUUAAUAACCUCAGCAAUUGACGCUACCCGCAGAAGAAGCACCGGCUAACUCCGUGCCAGCAGCCGCGGUAAUACGGAGGGUGCAAGCGUUAAUCGGAAUUACUGGGCGUAAAGCGCACGCAGGCGGUCUGUCAAGUCGGAUGUGAAAUCCCCGGGCUCAACCUGGGAACUGCAUUCGAAACUGGCAGGCUAGAGUCUUGUAGAGGGGGGUAGAAUUCCAGGUGUAGCGGUGAAAUGCGUAGAGAUCUGGAGGAAUACCGGUGGCGAAGGCGGCCCCCUGGACAAAGACUGACGCUCAGGUGCGAAAGCGUGGGGAGCAAACAGGAUUAGAUACCCGCGUAGUC
rnacentral:rRNA from 1 species